GGGCCCAUAGCUUAGGGGUAAAGCAGUUGGCUUUUAACCAAUUGACGGGGGUUCGAUUCCCUCUGGGCUCACAA
rnacentral:tRNA from 1 species